UGGGGAAUUUUGCACAAUGGGGGAAACCCUGAUGCAGCGACGCCGCGUGAUUUAGAAGGCCUUCGGGUUGUAAAAAUCUUUUCUAUGGGAAGAAAAUGACAGUACCAUAGGAAUAAGGACCGGCUAAUUACGUGCCAGCAGCCGCGGUAAUACGUAAGGUCCGAGCGUUGUCCGGAAUCAUUGGGCGUAAAGGGUACGCAGGCGGGUAAGCAAGUUAGAAGUGAAAUCCUAUAGCUCAACUAUAGUAAGCUUUUAAAACUGCUCAUCUUGAGGUAUGGAAGGGAAAGUGGAAUUCCUAGUGUAGCGGUGAAAUGCGCAGAUAUUAGGAGGAAUACCGGUGGCGAAGGCGACUUUCUGGCCAUAACCUGACGCUGAGGUACGAAAGCGUGGGUAGCAAACAGG
rnacentral:rRNA from 1 species